rnacentral:misc_RNA from 1 species
GAUGAAGAACGCAGCGAAAUGCGAUAAGUAAUGUGAAUUGCAGAAUUCAGUGAAUCAUCGAAUCUUUGAACGCACAUUGCGCCCGCUAGUAUUCUGGCGGGCAUGCCUGUUCGAGCGUCAUUUCAACCCUCAGGCCCCCAGUGCCUGGCGUUGGGGAUCGGCCGCUGGCGUCCUUCGGGGCGCCUGGCCGGCCCCGAAAUCUAGUGGCGGUCUCGCUGUAGUCCUCCUCUGCGUAGUAGCACAACCUCGCAGUUGGAAAUCGGCGGUGGCCAUGCCGUUAAACACCCCACUUCUGAAAGUUGACCUCGGAUCAGGUAGGAAUACCCGCUGAACUUAAGCAUAUCAAUAAGCGGAGGA